CCUACGGGCGGCAGCAGUGAGGAAUAUUGGUCAAUGGGCUUACGCCUGAACCAGCCAAGUCGCGUGAGGGAAGACUGCCCUAUGGGUUGUAAACCUCUUUUGUCAGGGAGCAACGCCGGCUACGUGUAGCCGGACUGAGAGUACCUGAAGAAAAAGCAUCGGCUAACUCCGUGCCAGCAGCCGCGGUAAUACGGAGGAUGCGAGCGUUAUCCGGAUUGAUUGGGUUUAAAGGCUGCGUAGGCGGAAUGCCAAGUCAGCGGUAAAAUCGCGGGGCUCAACCUCGCUCCGCCGUUGAAACUGGCGUUCUUGAGUGGGCGAGAAGUAUGCGGAAUGCGUGGUGUAGCGGUGAAAUGCAUAGAUAUCACGCAGAACUCCGAUUGCGAAGGCAGCAUACCGGCGCCCAACUGACGCUGAAGCACGAAAGCGUGGGUAUCGAACAGGAUUAGAUACCCGAGUAGUC
rnacentral:rRNA from 1 species